rnacentral:rRNA from 1 species
AAUUCACUAGUGAUUCAGGCUUUCCGGUUGAUCCUGCCGGAAGCUAUUGCUAUCAGGGUUUGACUAAGCCAUGCGAGUCGAGAGGUGAAAGACCUCGGCAUACUGCUCAGUAACACGUGGAUAAUCUGCCCUCAGAUGAGGAAUAAUCCUGGGAAACUGGGGCCAAUGCCUCAUAGGAGACGGGUGCUGGAAUGCUCUGUCUCUGAAAGGUCCGCCGUCUGAGGAUGAGUCUGCGUCCGAUUAGGUUGUUGUUGGGGUAACGGCCCACCAAGCCAUUGAUCGGUACGGGUUGUGGGAGCAAGAGCCCGGAGAUGGAUUCUGAGACAUGAAUCCAGGCCCUACGGGGCGCAGCAGGCGCGAAAACUUUACAAUGCGAGCAAUCGUGAUAAGGAAACCCUGAGUGCCUGUCAAUGCAGGCUGUUCUGGUGUUUAGUCCGCACCAGGAGAAAGGGCGGGGCAAGACCGGUGCCAGCCGCCGCGGUAAUACCGGCUGCUCGAGUGAUAGCCACUUUUACUGGGCUUAAAGCGUUCGUAGCUUGGUCGUUAAGUCUCUGGGGAAAUCUUCUGGCUUAACCAGAAGGCGUCUCAGAGAAACUGGCGACCUUGGGACCGGGAGAGGUAAGACGUACUUCGGGGGUA